rnacentral:miRNA from 1 species
UGGAAUGCAUAGAAGACUGUA